CCUACGGGAGGCAGCAGUGGGGAAUUUUGGACAAUGGGGGCAACCCUGAUCCAGCCAUGCCGCGUGAGUGAAGAAGGCCUUCGGGUUGUAAAGCUCUUUCGGCCGGAACGAAAUCGCGUACGUGAAUAACGUGCGUGGAUGACGGUACUGGAAGAAGAAGCACCGGCUAACUACGUGCCAGCAGCCGCGGUAAUACGUAGGGUGCGAGCGUUAAUCGGAAUUACUGGGCGCAAAGCGUGCGUAGGCGGUUUUGUAAGUCAGAUGUGAAAUCCCCGGGCUUAACCUGGGAACUGCGUUUGAAACUACAGAGCUAGAGUGUGGCAGAGGGGGGUGGAAUUCCACGUGUAGCAGUGAAAUGCGUAGAUAUGUGGAGGAACACCGAUGGCGAAGGCAACCCCCUGGGCCAACACUGACGCUGAGGCACGAAAGCGUGGGGAGCAAACAGGAUUAGAUACCCUGGUAGUCCACGCCCUAAACUAUGUCAACUAGUUGUCGGGAAAGCAAUUUCUUGGUAACGAAGCUAACGCGUGAAGUUGACCGCCUGGGGAGUACGGUCGCAAGAUUAAAACUCAAAGGAAUUGACGG
rnacentral:rRNA from 1 species